rnacentral:rRNA from 1 species
CAGCAGCCGCGGUAAUACGGAGGGUGCAAGCGUUAUCCGGAUUUAUUGGGUUUAAAGGGUCCGUAGGCGGAUCUGUAAGUCAGUGGUGAAAUCUCACAGCUUAACUGUGAAACUGCCAUUGAUACUGCAGGUCUUGAGUAAAUUUGAAGUGGCUGGAAUAAGUAGUGUAGCGGUGAAAUGCAUAGAUAUUACUUAGAACACCAAUUGCGAAGGCAGGUCACUAAGAUUUAACUGACGCUGAUGGACGAAAGCGUGGGGAGCGAACAGGAUUAGAGACCCGCGUAGUCCCUGUCUCUUAUAC